rnacentral:tRNA from 1 species
GGAGAGGUGGCCGAGUGGUUGAAGGCACCAGUCUUGAAAACUGGCGUGCCCGCAAGGGUACCGUGGGUUCGAAUCCCACCCUCUCCG